rnacentral:lncRNA from 1 species
GGUAAGAAAGCCCAGGAGAGCCCACCAGAGGAGCUGGGGGUGGGUUCCUGCCUGCAGGGGGUCUGGGACACCCCAUUCCCGCAGACGAGGACCCAUGUUUUGGGGAGGAAGCUGUCAGAGUCACCAGUGAGCUGUUCAGAGCUGGAGCCACUGAGCAGGAGGAGGGGGCACCCAGAAGGGGCCCUGAAGUCAAGGGCAUCGUCCAACCUUUCUACCUCCCCAGCUGAAGACAGGCUGGAGGACAAUUCUCCAGAGUUUCAUAACAAAGAAGAGAAAAAAGAAAUCAAAAAGACCUGGAGGAUAGGGAGUGUGACCACUGUAUGUCAGCCACUGGGGGACAGGCUUCAGCUUACAACCACCUUCCAAAUUCCACCCUCUCACCUUGGCAGAAGCUGGCCAGGAAUUGGGGCCAAUGGAUGGGUGGGGUCUGCACAGGACACCGUAUUCAGGUCCCCAUGACGGCCUCACACAAAGGUGGUGGCCCUGCAGUUCCAGACGAUUCUCCACAGAGGCAUCAGGUCUCGGUCCUGGCCACCUCCUCCUGCAGGGCCUCAGCUGUUUCCUGGGACUCACGUGGUCCUUCCUCACAUGCAGCUCUGGAUUCAGGGCAGACUCUCUGAAGACCUUGUGCAACAGCAGAGUCCAGCAGAGAAGACAAGAAAAGCCCAGCUGCAAAGAUGAAAAAAUGGCAGGUGCUAGUUCUGGCAAAGCCAGUCACCUGCCCAGGGCAGAGAGUAGCCUGAAGCUGAUGCUACGGAGAGACUGGGGCCUUCAGUCCAACAGCCUGCAAGCAAUAGAAUUCUGCCAGCAACACAGAAGCGAGCGUGGAAGCAGCUCCUCCCCUGAUGAGCCUGAGCCUUCAGAAGACAUGGCAGCCCUGAGCAGACACUUGCUGCAGCCGCGGAGAGCCCCUGGGGCAGAGGGCCCAGUGAAGCCUGCACUCCUGGGCCAAGGAGUAAGCAUUCCUGUGGUAUAACUGUGUGCUGGUGUGGGCCACAGUUUGGAGUCAUCUGUCAGGGGACGAUAAAGAACAAACACACGCCUCAGGUCCUACUGGGUAGAAGCUGUAGGGUCAGCACGGCAUGUAAUAUCUGUCAGGCCUCUGAGCCCAAGCCAAGCCAUAGCAUCCCCUGUGACUUGCAAAUAUACACCCAGAUGGCCUGAAGUAACUGAAGAAUCACAAAAGAAUUGUAAAUGCUCUGCCUCGCCUUAACUGAUGACAUUCCACCACAAAAGAUGUGUAAAUGACAUUCCACCACAAAAGAUAUGUAAAUGACUGGUCCUUGCCUUAAGCGAUCAUAGAUUCUUGUGAAAUUCCUUUUCCUGGCUCAUUCUGGCUCAAAAAGCUCCCCCACUGAGCACCUUGUGACCUCCACUCCGGCCCGCCAGAGAACAACCCCCCUUUGACUGUAAUUUUCCUUUACCUACCCAAAUGCUAUAAAACAGCCCCACCCUUAUCUCUCUUUGCUGACUGUCUUUUGGGACUCAACCCACUUGCACGCAGGUGAAAUAAACAACCAUGUUGCUCACA